UACGUAGGGACCGAGCGUUGUCCGGAUUCAUUGGGCGUAAAGAGCUCGUAGGCGGCUGCUCAAGUCGAAUGUGAAACCUCGAGGCUCAACCUCGAGCCUGCAUUCGAUACUGGGCGGCUAGAGUCUGGUAGGGGGAUCUGGAAUUCCUGGUGUAGCGGUGGAAUGCGCAGAUAUCAGGAGGAACACCGGUGGCGAAGGCGGGAUCCUGGGCCAGUACUGACGCUGAGGAGCGAAAGCGUGGGGAGCAAACAGG
rnacentral:rRNA from 1 species